rnacentral:rRNA from 1 species
UGAGCGAAGAAGGCCUUCGGGUCGUAAAGCUCUGUUGUUAGGGAAGAACAAGUACGAGAGUAACUGCUCGUACCUUGACGGUACCUAACCAGAAAGCCACGGCUAACUACGUGCCAGCAGCCGCGGUAAUACGUAGGUGGCAAGCGUUGUCCGGAAUUAUUGGGCGUAAAGCGCGCGCAGGCGGUCCUUUAAGUCUGAUGUGAAAGCCCACGGCUCAACCGUGGAGGGUCAUUGGAAACUGGGGGACUUGAGUGCAGAAGAGGAGAGUGGAAUUCCACGUGUAGCGGUGAAAUGCGUAGAGAUGUGGAGGAACAUCAGUGGCGAAGGCGACUCUCUGGUCUGUAACUGACGCUGAGGCGCGAAAGCGUGGGGAGCAAACAGGAUUAGAUACCCUGGUAGUCCACGCCGUAAACGAUGAGUGCUAAGUGUUAGAGGGUUUCCGCCCUUUAGUGCUGCAGCUAACGCAUUAAGCACUCCGCCUGGGGAGUACGGCCGCAAGGCUG